AAUGUUGUACUCAAUCAAUUAUGGAUGAGUAGUAUAGCUACAUUACUGUACAUAUAUUUAAAAUAGCAAUAAUUGAUUUGGAAGGACUUUUUUGAGAUGACUUUCCUAGACUUUGUGAAGGGCUCUUCGCUGCAGCUUUUUCUGAAGUCUUAUCUGCUUUCUUAAAGUGUCCAAGGAAGUUUGGACAGAUGUUCUCCAGGGAGACGGGUGACCCAGCGAACUCAUUCACUGGCAUGGCGCUGCAUCAGAUCAAGCGUUGUAAAGUCGAAACUGACAUCAGGAAGUCAAAACGGGGUGUCAAUUUAUAAGGUCCUCAACUCAUGAUGUUUUAAGUCGAGGGCUGUCUGUACUGUACUUACAGCGCAGGGGAUCAGUCUCCCCCAUACACCUCAAGCCGCAUCCCUGAGCAGUAACAGCACCAACCCCCGUGGGAGUACUGCCGCGAGGGGGACACUUGCGGGGCAGCCCUGUCCUGCUCCCGCCUCCGAGUCCAGAGAGGCAGCUGGGAGCGGGGAACCCCUCACGUGCCUCAGCUAAGAGCUCAAGGCAGCGCCCAGCAGGCGCCGCCCGCGCGAGUCCUGGCCACAGUCCGGCUGCAGAGGGGGCCCCGGAGACUUGUGGGAAGGGCGGGGCGAGAGCCCAGCACUACUCUUCCGCCCCGCCCCAUUGGCUGCCCGUCGUCACGUGCUUGGGGAGCCGACUUGCUGCGCUGAGGCGGCUGUGCCAGUUUCCUCAGUCGUAGCCGCGGGGCGUGAUACAAGAUGCACCUUCCUUUGGUACUGUGCACAGCUCUGCUGAUAGGAAGUGGCAGUGCUCAGGAUGACGAUUGGAUUGACCCCACAGAUAUGCUCAAUUAUGAUGCAGCUUCAGUGAGCAUGCGAAGACCUAACAAGGUAAAUGAUGAUGAGUCUGAGACCGAGAAGACAGUGAAUGCUGAUGAGAGCACUGCAAGCCAAGAGGACUCGCAGGGUUGUCAGAGAACAGUGGAAUCCCUAAUGCAGCAGAUUGAGGACUAUAAGAAGAAGGAGAAGAUCAACUCAUAUGAAAGCAGCAGCAUUCAUAUUUUUAGGCGUUACUUGAAUAAAAUUCUAAAUGAAAUUAGAAAACUUGGUUUUCCUAAUGAAAAUACUGGUAGCAUGCAUUAUGAUUCUGAGAUCGUCCUUACAAAACAAACUCUUUCAGAGAUCGAAAGGUUUCUCCAUGAGGAGGACUUGCAACCUGCUGCUUUGGAUGAUGCCCUUAAUGAUAUGCAAACUAAUUUUAAGCAUCAUGAUUAUGAGGCUUGGAAAUGGAGGUUUGAGGACGCAUUUGGAGUUUGUCCAUACGAUAUCUUUAUGGGACUCUUGUGUUUAGUGUGCAUUGUUGUAAUCAUAGCUACUGAGUUAUGGACAAGGAUUUCCUGGCUUACUCAGAUAAAACGUGUGUUCUUAAUUUGUUUUCUCAUCAGUUUUGGAUGGAACUGGGUUUACUUGUAUAAGGUGGCCUUUGCACAGCAUCAAGCAGAAGUAGUUAAAAUGGAGAAGUUUGACAAUGUGUGUGCUGAGAAGAUCAGCUGGAGUGGGAAUCUGUUUGAAUGGUUUAGAAGUUCAUGGACAUUCCAGGAUGAUCACUGUCAGAAGUACUAUGAACUUAUAUUAGUGAAUCCUAUUUGGCUGGUUCCUCCAACAAAGGCAUUGGCCGUUACAUUCACCAAUUUUGUAACAGAGCCACUGAAGCACAUAGGACAAGGAAUUGGCGAAUUUAUUAAAGGGCUUAUGAAAGAGAUACCAAUAUUGCUACAGGUUCCAGUGUUAAUCAUCAUGGCUCUGGCUGUUCUGGGUUUCUGCUAUGGUGCAGGAAGAUCUGUUAAUUUAUUCAGGGCUUUAACAAGCUCUGAGAGGGAACCGCAGUCUUCACUUCCUCCAAGUGACAGACCGAAGGGGGAACCAAAAGAGUAUGUGCAAUAUAUCUGUGCAGGUGAUUCAAAUAUCCGUCAUAGGAUGAAUGCUGGACACAUCGAUGUAAGAACUUAUGAGAGAGGAGAUGGUCUGAGAGACGGAGAAGGUCAGAUGAGACCACAAAAUGGCAAAAAAAACUCUGAAGUUCUGCAAGCAGGUGAUAUGCCAGACGCACAAAUUGAAGAGCACACCAAGAUGGCAACCAGUAGCUCAGUAACACAUCAGCCAGUGAAUGUGAAUUACCCUCAAAAGGAAUUGAAGAAAAAGAACAGUGUGGACAUUUCUUUGCUUCGGUUACAGUCAAGCGUAUGGGUUCGGGUUACAGUCAAUGACGAACGUGGCGCCGGAACGAGCUAUCGUGCCUGCAGGGCUUUACUACGUCAAGAUUUACGAUGAUGGGGAGUGAUUGACGGGUGAUCAGACCGCCAAGCCACUCUGGUGAUGGACUCAGGUUUCUCCUCAGAGAUUUCCCCAGAGUUCUCCGGCUUGGGCGGAAGUUGCUAAACUAUUUAUAGACAGAGAACGGAUUGCACGCUUCUUCUGAAGAACAGGCUGUUUGUAGCGUGAAAAGGAGCAAAGAUCAAAGCCAUGAAGGAGAGAUUGCACCUGAACAGCAGAAACUGUGCACACCUGGAGAUUUACAAGCAUCUGAAGCA